UAUCUACUCCCUCCGUUCGGAAUUACUCGUCAAAGAAAUAAAUGUAUCUAGAUGUAUUUUUGUUGUAGAUACAUCUAUUUUUGUGACAAGUAAUUCCGAACGGAGGGAGUAGAUA
rfam:Triticum aestivum genome assembly, contig: Triticum_aestivum_CS42_TGACv1_scaffold_224964_3B